UACUUCUUUAGAACAGGCUGAGCAUGUGAAAGACAUCAAAUUCUCAAGCACAGGUCAGAUGCUUGGAAAAAUGCAUUUCUGGGAAUUUGAGGCCAGAAGAUUUAGUGGCAUUAGAAAGCUUAAGUAUGUAGAGUGGGAAUACUUACAACCCUUUUAUCAAAGAUAAAAAUGUCCAAAAGCAAUUUAUCUCAUCUUCCAGGGCCUUUCCAAGUAGUCCUGUCUUUGUAGUCAUUCACUGGGAUUCAGGGGGAGAGGACUGGAAGGAGAUACUGCUAAAUAAUGUAUGUUAAAUUCCAAAGAAAUUCAUUAGUGAGGUGGUGGAGUAUUUUGGGGGGAUUCAGCCACCCACCCCCUGAAGUUCUGCAGUGCUGUAAGGCUGGUUUGCACUCUGAGCAGUUGGUACCAGGCCUCCUCUCAGGUCUGUACAGGGCUGGUAUUAAUUUGUUGCUUUUUCCACAUUAUAUAUUUUAUUAUAUGUAGCAGUAGAAGUAUUGGAAGGUGGAGUUUUGUAGAUUCGGUUUCCCAGUGACGAAGCCAGUAAAACCAGCUUUGUAAGGAUACGUCUGCUCAGAGGGAUUAGAUUUCCAUGCUGAAAUAUUUUGAUUAAACAAUGCAACUGCACAACCAGCUGUGGCAGGCUGCACGCUUGCUUUUGGCCUGUGUGCUCAGGCAAGUCUUGGUGAGAACCUGGGGUGCUUUGAGACACAAAAGAAGCAAGGCUGACAUUUUCUGGGGAUCAAUGCAUCCUACAGAUUUUGGUCACAGGUAGAGGUGGAGAUGAUGAUGAAGGGCUGUGAGGGCUGGAUUUCAGGAUACCAGGUUAACUCAGAAAGUUAACUCAGAAUUUAUUUAGAACUUUCUGUGGUAUGGCUGGAAAAAUAAACACAUAACUUAAUGACUCGUUGUUUUUACAGUUGUAAUUUUGAUCCUUCUCUACUGCUAGUAAACUUUCAAAGCAAAAAUGCCGACCCUUUGCCUUAGCAUCUCGUUACUUUUCUGGUCUUGACAUAACCUCAUGUUCCUUGUGCUAAUCUCCGUGUCCUCUAGAGGGAGAAGUAAGUUCGUGCUCAGACUGUUGGAAAGUGCCAAAGCUCCUUUAAUAUGUCAAAAGUGCUAAUUAUGUUUCAAUCAUCUACAUAACUUUAAAUUUUGAUGGAGUUGUACAUGCACCUAGAUGUUAUUUGGGGGUUUUAUCCUCCUGAAUUUGUAGUUCUUGGACAAAGUUUUAUAUCUUGAGGACAUAGGGGCAUAAUUUGUUCUGGGCCAGGCCAGCCUGCAACAAUGAUAUUGAUGCUGGGUUUAGGAAGAGGUUCUAGAUGGCAAACACUAAGGAGAAUUCCUUCCCCCUGUACAAAUGAUGAAGGCUCGUGGUAAGAAUCUAAAAAAUAUCAGGGAUGUAAUUCUUCAGCUGCCCAAAUUCACAGGCAUAAACAUCCAUCUUUUGUGUAAUGCAAUAGGUAGCAAUCAUUUUGCCACAAUCACUAGCCCUAAACACAGUUUGAGUUAUUGACAGAUGCUGGUUUGGUUUUUUUCCCUUCCCCACCUCCCCUCCAUAGCUGUUUAUUUUCUAAGGACUGACAUAAGAACAAACUUGGUCUUUCUUCCUGACAUGCAACAACCUGCCUCCACCUUUGCAGCCUGCCUGGAAUUGCAGGCUCUCCUAAGCAGAGUGUGAAUGUUAGACCUAGCCUGCAGCACUAGGUUUAAGGCUAUCUCUCUGAUCUAGCCCCGAGAUCCAUGUCUGCAGCAAAGGCCACAAGGCUGGGCCUUGCAGUUGGCAGAGACUGCUUGGGGGUUUGGGGUGUUGUUUCCUUUUUUCCUCUCUUUUCUUGCUCCCCCAAGCCAGCAGGCUGUGGUUGCAGCAGGCUGCUGCAGAACAGGAUGAAGGAUGGCCAGUGACCCUUCUUCUGCAUUAGGGCUGGGUUAAGGGCUGGCAUGAAGGCUGGUGAUGGGGACAUGAGGACAGGAAGCCUAAUUAAUAGUUAUCUACAAGAGGUUCACAGCAUUUACUUGGCAUUCCUGCUCUUGAGCAUCCUUUUCAUCCCUUUGCCUAAUCUGAGCCUCAACCCCUGAAGCUGAACAUGAGCCCUGUGCUCUGUGCUGUCACUUCCCUCCCACACUCAGCCAGGGCUGAUUCUCUGUGGCUGACUGCAGCCCCCUACCCCUACCCAUCUGGUUUUUUAGUGCCUCCAGCCCUGAGUGUUAACCCCAGUUCCAACUGUAGCCUUGCCCUGAAACUGGAAAGUCCAGUGUUCCCCAGACAUCCUUCUGGGAGGUAUGAUCAGCACCAGCUGGCACCUAAACAAGAAAGAUACAAAGCUGGUUCUGCAGCCCCUUCACCCCAUAAUCUACACCCAUGAUCAGAUGGAGCCAGCAGCUUGCCAAGCUGGAAAUGUCUGGAAUCAGCCUACUUUGGUGGUACUUCCAGGAUCCAUUGUUUAUUCUUCUUUGUCUUUAGCGCUGGCUGUGGGUUGCCUGAAAGAUGGAUGAGACUCAGGAUGGGCAGCUCUGUGAAGUCUGAAUGGAUGUUUGGUGCUGAACUCUGAGCAGGGAGAUAUUGCAGGUUUGCCACCAGUGCUUUGGUUAGGGAUGUGGACAGCAAGUCUGAAAAGGUGUAGUAUCUUUCUGGAUUCUUCACUGUGCACACUGGUGUUUUUAUGGUACAUAAAUUAAGGUUGCCAUAUUCAUAAGGUUGCUGUUGACCUAUAAAGAAUCAAAGCAGGCUGAAGGCAAGGUUUGGACAGGGAGGGCUGGGUAAGCAGACCUCUCACUAGAUCUAGUAAGGAUUGAGGGCUCAGGUGAGGCUUGAGGUGUAGAGUUGUUUGGGGUAAGGUUUGCUCUGAGGGGGUAAGAGGACCAGUUUUGGUCUGCAUGCCAGGGUUUGCAUUUGGGAUGCACAGAGAGCUGAGAGUUGGCAGGAUGAGAUGAAGGCUGAUACUGACUAGAACUGGAGAGCAGAGGGUUUGCUGAUUGUUGCUUUUUCAAAGAAAAAGUCUAAUUUAUGUGCUUGACAUAAGAUGUCGCUUCUAAUGCUUUUGCUUCUGGAUAGAAAAGAAACUUAAGGAAUUGUUUGUUCUCUCUCCUUGCCAGGUUUCUCAUUUUGUGCUCCUCAGUCAGGCAUGAGCUUGUAGAGUGUGAAGUGGACACUUGUUGCAGAGCACUAUGUCUCUCUGGGCUAUGAAGAGGCCUUUAUGUGGACUUGAGAGCUACCACUGUGCACCUCAGGUGUGACAGAUACCUGGACCCUGGAGGAAAUGUGAACCAGGAACACUCUCAUCACUUUUUUCAUGUGGGAAACAAGCAGCAAUGCCCACAGAUGCUACUACAAAGUGAUUUCAACUUCAAUAAAUAGAAAUGAGAUGUUGACUUUCUGCGACCAGCCAGGCCCUUUUAUAGGAAGCCCAUCAAUUACACUAAGUGCCGUGUGGCUGCCUAUGGGUUGUGCUGUGCAGAAUUAAAGGAUUACAAUUUGUGUGGGAUUAGCAACCUGAGGUUUUUUCAGUUGGUCAGACCAAGGUUUUGGGAUCACUCCCUGUAUCGACCAUUCACUUCAGGGUUUGACCCAAUGAUCCUUGUGGGUCCCUUCCAACUCAGAAUAUUCUGUGACCUGGAAAUAAAUAAACUAUUUCAACAAUG